rnacentral:misc_RNA from 1 species
CAUGAUAUUGGGGUGAAAGCUCACGUCAAAAUAACGUUUUCUUUGAGAAGAUGAAAAUAAUCAUGCAAUUGCUGUUAAUUUGGAUGCAAUUUCAUGCUUUUCAUGCCUCUCCAUCACUAGUUAAACGUUUGCUUCAAUCUUCUCUUUUCUAGCUUUCUUAAUUGCACUGUAUCUACUUGCAAGAAACAAAAGAUUGGAAAUUUCAUCACCAUUACAUAACCCCAUCUUUUUUGCCCAUGGGGAGGCCUCCUUGCUGUGAUAAAUCCAAUGUGAAAAGGGGUCUCUGGACUGCUGAGGAAGAUGCUAAGAUACUUGCUUAUGUAUCCAACCAUGGCAUUGGCAAUUGGACUUUGGUCCCUAAGAAAGCAGGGCUCAACAGAUGUGGGAAGAGCUGUAGGCUUAGAUGGACUAAUUACUUGAGGCCUGAUCUCAAGCAUGACAACUUCACCCCGCAAGAAGAAGAACUCAUUAUUAAUCUUCAUAAAGCUAUAGGUAGCAGGUGGUCAUUAAUUGCAAGGCAGCUUCCCGGAAGAACAGACAAUGAUGUGAAGAACUAUUGGAACACUAAGCUUAGGAAGAAGCUUUACAAGAUGGGAAUUGAUCCCGUAACUCAUAAACCCUUCUCUCAGAUUCUUUCUGAUUACGGUAACAUUAGAGGCAUAUCAAAUAACACAGGUAACGACUUUGCUUCUUUCAAUAAAAACUUUAACUCCAAUCUUACGUCCAAACCAGAACAACCAUCAUCUUCUGUCUUAACUGGACCUUCAAGUUCUAAUGUAAUCCUGAGGCCUCCCAUAGAACAAGUUCAAGAAAACUCAUUCACUAAUAACAGCCGUUCCUGGGAAUUGCUGCCCCAGUUUCACGUCACCAACCAUGACAUUUUGCAACCACAUUUGAUUAAUGUGGUUAGCUCUUCUUGCUCAUCUUCAUCUUCAUCUUCCACUACUGUCACACAGUUAAACUCACCACAAUCCUAUACCUGCCAACAAUCUCAGACUCCAAUAACACCCUCUUCUCCUAGUUUAUGGAGUGAGUUUCUCCUCAGUGAUCCUGGAAUGUCUCUGGACUUUCAGCAGCAGCAACAAAAGCAAGACUCUCAUGGGGCGUUGUCAUCAACCUCAACACAGAAUGAUAUAUCCCAUGACAAGUUCACUGGUGGGAAUGAGGAUUUUGGACCAUAUGAUCAUGGAAUAAUAAAUGGCAAUCAAACAAACAGCCAUGUUGAUGCAUAUUCAUCUUCUGCAAGUUCAUUUGUGG